rnacentral:rRNA from 1 species
AGAGUUUGAUCAUGGCUCAGAAUGAACGCUGGCGGCGUGCUUAACACAUGCAAGUCGAACGAUGAAACCCAGCUUGCUAGGUGGAUUAGUGGCGCACGGGUGAGUAAUAUAUAGAUAAUGUACCUCUUAGUCUGGGAUAGCCAUUGGAAACGAUGAUUAAUACUAGAUACUCCUUCUUCUUCUAAUUGAAGUUGGGAAAGUUUUUCGCUAAGAGAUCAGUCUAUAUCCCAUCAGUUAGUUGGUAGGGUAAUGGCCUACCAAGGCAAUGACGGGUAGCGGGUUUGAGAGGAUGAUCCGCCACACUGGUACUGAGACACGGACCAGACUCCUACGGGAGGCAGCAGUGAGGAAUAUUGCACAAUGGAGGAAACUCUGAUGCAGCAACGCCGCGUGGAGGAUGACGCAUUUCGGUGUGUAAACUCCUUUUAUAUUCAAGAAAAUGACGG